AAACGACGAAUUAUUAGCUAUGAAAGAUGAAAGGUCUUUCCAUAUCCGUAUUUUCUUGUUUUUUGUGUAUUUUAUUUCUGUUUCUUUUUAUUUUUCAAUUU
rnacentral:ribozyme from 1 species